rnacentral:piRNA from 1 species
ACCAAGAAACAUAAUGAUGAAGACUGAAAA